rnacentral:lncRNA from 10 species
CUAAUGAAACUAUCUUAGGAGGUCCUCCCUAGAUAAGACUUUUUGUCUAUAAAAAGGAAGUGGAAACUUUCAAGGGGAAUUAAAUCCCAGAAUAAUAACUGCCAUAAUCUGUAGCACAUUCUCACUCACAAAGCAAGUACUUCAUAGCACUUUUACCCCUUUUUGUUUCCUGUGUUAUAGGAGAAAAAAGUAAAUUCAGAGUUUCUGUAUCUUCUUUGUUGCUCAAGAUCACAAAUUAAUAAGGGGCAGAAGUAGGACUCAAACCCAGGCCCACAGGUAUCUAAUUCACUGGUCUUUCCUCACCCUACCCUCCUCCCUGCCUCAUUCUUCUCCCUGUCUUGCAGUCACGCUACU